rnacentral:rRNA from 1 species
GACGAAGGUGGCGAGCGUUGUUCGGAAUCACUGGGCAUAAAGCGCACGUAGGCGGCGACGUAAGUUGGGUGUGAAAUCCCUCGGCCCAACCGAGGAACUGCGCCCAGUACUGCGUUGCUUGAGGAUCCAAGGGGUGCAUGGAAUUCCCGGUGGAGCGGUGAAAUGCGUUGAUAUCGGGAGGAACUCCGGCGGCGAAAGCGGUGCACUGGUGGAUUACUGACGCUGAGGUGCGAAAGCCAGGGGAGCGAACGGG